GAUGAAGAACGCAGCGAAAUGCGAUAAGUAGUGUGAAUUUCAGAAUUCAGUGAAUCAUCGAAUCUUUGAACGCACAUUGCGCCCUUUGGUAUUCCAAAGGGCAUGCCUGUUCGAGCGUCAUUUGUACCCUCAAGCUUUGCUUGGUGUUGGGCGUCUUGUCUCUAGCUUUGCUGGAGACUCGCCUUAAAGUAAUUGGCAGCCGGCCUACUGGUUUCGGAGCGCAGCACAAGUCGCACUCUCUAUCAGCAAAGGUCUAGCAUCCAUUAAGCCUUUUUUUCAACUUUUGACCUCGGAUCAGGUAGGGAUACCCGCUGAACUUAAGCAUAUCAAUAAGCGGAGGA
rnacentral:misc_RNA from 1 species